GGGGGUGACUGGCUUCGACUUCGGUGGUCGAGUCAGGUGAAGCGGGUCGAGGGUUGCGGUUACGACCUCGUUAAUCCUGUGAUCGCAAAACAACAAGUGCCAACACUAAGCGCACUGAGUUCGCCCUCGCCGCCUGAGGCGAGUAGCGACUCUGUCAGCCCGGGAGCGUCUCCGACCCGGGGUCUGGCAUCGUAAGGAGACUCAACCUGCCGAUCCGGUCGCGGGACUGGUAGGGAAACCCAACAGCGACUGAGCCCGUCGGCGACUUGCCUGCGUGAGUGCCGGGGCUGAGAAAACGAUCAGCAGGCUGCACCCGGAGAAGCCCUGUAUCACUAUCGAAGGACGCGGGUUCGAUUCCCGCCACCUCCACGA
rnacentral:tmRNA from 1 species